GAGAAAGCUACCAAAGGGCAUACGGUGGAUGUCUUGGCGUCCAGAGGCGAUGAAGGACGUUGGAACCUGCGAUAUGCCUCGGGGAGCCGGUAACCAGGCUUUGAUCCGAGGAUCUCCGAAU
rnacentral:rRNA from 1 species